AGACUGCAAAAAGAUAGAAACUCAUCUAUGUUUUGCAGCUCCUUCUUCACGGAAUCUUAACUCUUUGCUUGGAUAAAGGAAAACUCUGAAAAACCAGAAGAAAUGGACGGACAAGGACGCACGUUCAAGAGCAAUGCCCCAAAAGCCGGUGGGAAGGGAUUUGGUGGUGGUAUCCCAGGAAUGGACGGACUUGGAGCAGGUGAUGUGGUCUGCCCGUGGGAGACCUUUGGCGAUAUGGAGAUGAGCGACUUGGCGGCAUUUGGCAUCGUCUGACCCCCCCUCCCCCACCUACCCUAAUUUAAUCUGCAAUGAUACGCACCCAUGCUGCAGUCUGACUUGCUCAUACAGCCCCAUGUUGUGUAAAUUGCCAAACAUUGUACCACAUGUGGGUUAAGCUAUGGGGAAGCCUUUAGUACACCACUGGUUGCUGAGAUACACUUAAAGGAAGACAAGUUUCAGCCAAAACUAUGUAUGACUCGUAAGGGUAUCAUGUACAGCCUACCUCACAAAUACUUUAUCCAUAUUUUGUUCAUACUUUAAAAUAAGCUGACCGGUUAAAUGCAUAAAAAUCCAUCUCCCUAUAAAAUACUUUCUUUCCUUUUUUUUCUUUUUUACCCCUUUUUCCUUUGUAGUAUUCCAACUCUGUCUCUUGUCUUUUCAUCUUCUGUUGUUGCAUCCUUCUAUAAUCAAUUAUAUUCUGUUGUUUGGAAGUAAAAGAAGAAAGGAUAGUACCUUGUUAUGGAGAAAUGUGGUGUUCUGCGGUCACCAAACCUGCAGCACUUUUGAAGGCGAAAGAUGUAGUUGAUUCUUUUCUCUUUCCCUUUUUCCUCCUGUUAAAUGGACUUAAAAUAUAUAUUUAUCUACCUAUGUAUUCAGUAAAGUUAGUUAUUUUCCCAAAC